AGGGAAAUAGUUUAAUAAAAACAUUUUAUUUGCAAUAAAAAAAAAUUAACAAUUAAUUAAUUUUCCUUA
rnacentral:tRNA from 1 species